rnacentral:rRNA from 1 species
UACGAAGGGGGCUAGCGUUGCUCGGAAUGACUGGGCGUAAAGGGCGCGUAGGCGGGUGGCACAGUCAGAUGUGAAAUUCCUGGGCUUAACCUGGGGGCUGCAUUUGAUACGUGUGAUCUGGAGUGAGGAAGAGGGUUGUGGAAUUCCCAGUGUAGAGGUGAAAUUCGUAGAUAUUGGGAAGAACACCGGUGGCGAAGGCGGCGACCUGGUCCUUAACUGACGCUGAGGCGCGAAAGCGUGGGGAGCAAACAGG